rnacentral:rRNA from 1 species
UUGGUUAAGUUAGAAAGGGCGCACGGUGGAUGCCUUGGCACUAGGAGCCGAAGAAGGACGGGACUAACACCGAUAUGCUUUGGGGAGCUGUACGUAAGCGUUGAUCCAGAGAUUUCCGAAUGGGGGAACCCACUAUCUUUAGUCGGAUAGUAUCCUUACGUGAAUACAUAGCGUGAGGAAGGCAGACCCAGGGAACUGAAACAUCUAAGUACCUGGAGGAAGAGAAAGAAAAAUCGAUUUCCUGAGUAGCGGCGAGCGAAACGGAAAGAGCCCAAACCAAGAAGCUUGCUUCUUGGGGUUGUAGGACACUCUAUACGGAGUUACAAAAGAAAGUUAUAAAUGAAGCGGUCUGGAAAGGCCCGCCAAAGACGGUAACAGCCCGGUAGUUGAAAUGGCUUUCCCUCCAGAGUGGAUCCUGAGUACGGCGGAACACGUGAAAUUCCGUCGGAAUCCGGGAGGACCAUCUCCCAAGGCUAAAUACUCCCUAGUGACCGAUAGUGAACCAGUACCGUGAGGGAAAGGUGAAAAGCACCCCGGAAGGGGAGUGAAACAGUUCCUGAAACCGUGUGCCUACAAGUAGUUAGAGCCCGUUAAUGGGUGAUAGCGUGCCUUUUGUAGAAUGAACCGGCGAGUUACGAUUUGUUGCAAGGUUAAGCGGAAAAAGCGGAGCCGUAGCGAAAGCGAGUCUGAAUAGGGCGCAUAAGUAACAGGUCGUAGACCCGAAACCAGGUGAUCUACCCAUGUCCAGGAUGAAGGUAAGGUAAUACUUACUGGAGGUCCGAACCCACGCACGUUGAAAAGUGCGGGGAUGAGGUGUGGGUAGCGGAGAAAUUCCAAUCGAACUUGGAGAUAGCUGGUUCUCUCCGAAAUAGCUUUAGGGCUAGCCUCGAGGUAAAGAGUCAUGGAGGUAGAGCACUGUUUGGACUAGGGGCCCUUCUCGGGUUACCGAAUUCAGAUAAACUCCGAAUGCCAUGUACUUAUACUCGGGAGUCAGACUGCGAGUGAUAAGAUCCGUAGUCGAAAGGGAAACAGCCCAGACCACCAGUUAAGGUCCCCAAAUAUAUGUUA